AUUGAACGCUGGCGGCAGGCUUAACACAUGCAAGUCGAGCGAGCGGCGGACGGGUGGGAAAUUUCUGGGAAACUGCCUGAUGGAGGGGGAUACCUACUGGAAACGGUAGCUAAUACCGCAUACCUCAAGAUGUGCCCAGAUGGGAUUAGCUAGUAGGUGGGGUAAUGGCUCACCUAGGGGACGAUCCCUAGCUGGUCUGAGAGGAGGACCAGCCACACUGGAACUGAGACACGGUCCAGACUCCUACGGGAGGCAGCAGUGGGGAAUAUUGCACAAUGGGCGCAAGCCUGAUGCAGCCAUGCCGCGUGUGUGAAGAAGGCCUUCGGGUUGUAAAGCACUUUCAGCGAGGAGGCGUUACUCGCAGAAGAAGCACCGGCUAACUCCGUGCCAGCAGCCGCGGUAAUUC
rnacentral:rRNA from 1 species